rnacentral:sRNA from 1 species
AUUCUACCCAUGUGGGGAAGGAUGAGAAGCUCCGACUAAGGUUCGAUUCGAGCGAAAGCGAGAAAGCGUUGCCGCAGGCAACGACCCGAAGGGCGAAGCGCGCAGCGCUGAGUAAUCCUUCCCCUACCACCA